rnacentral:rRNA from 1 species
AUUGAACGCUGGCGGCAUGCUUUACACAUGCAAGUCGAACGGCAGCGCGGGCUUCGGCCUGGCGGCGAGUGGCGAACGGGUGAGUAAUGCAUCGGAACGUGCCCCGUAGUGGGGGAUAGCCCGGCGAAAGCCGGAUUAAUACCGCAUACGACCUGCGGGUGAAAGCGGGGGACCGAAAGGCCUCGCGCUAUUGGAGCGGCCGAUGUCGGAUUAGCUAGUUGGUGGGGUAAAGGCUUACCAAGGCGACGAUCCGUAGCUGGUCUGAGAGGACGACCAGCCACACUGGGACUGAGACACGGCCCAGACUCCUACGGGAGGCAGCAGUGGGGAAUUUUGGACAAAGGGGGCAACCCUGAUCCAGCCAUGCCGCGUGCGGGAAGAAGGCCUUCGGGUUGUAAACCGCUUUUGUUCGGGAAGAAAUCCUCUGGGCUAAUACCCCGGGGGGAUGACGGUACCGGAAGAAUAAGCACCGGCUAACUACGUG